rnacentral:piRNA from 1 species
UGAUAGCAAGAAGCAGAAUCCAUGUGUGAGC